rfam:Schistosoma mansoni, Puerto Rico, WGS project CABG01000000 data, contig: 0169
GCACUGCUGAGGAGUCCCAUGAUUGGACGAAACGGCCGUCCAGUGC